UACGAAGGGGGCUAGCGUUGCUCGGAAUGACUGGGCGUAAAGGGCGCGUAGGCGGAUGGCAUAGUCAGAUGUGAAAUUCCCGGGCUUAACCUGGGGACUGCAUUUGAUACGUGUCGUCUUGAGUUCGGAAGAGGGUCGUGGAAUUCCAAGUGUAGCGGUGGAAUGCGUAGAGAUCCGGAGGAACACCAAAGGCGAAGGCAGUGUCCUGGGGAGUACCUGACGCUCAGGUGCGAAAGCCGGGGGAGCGAACGGG
rnacentral:rRNA from 1 species